CAGGCGUGUCCCCACUCCACUUUUAUUUGUCCCCCGUGCUUGUCCCCCCCCCACACUUUGCUCCCUACUCCACUCUCCAGUGUUCCCCACUCCUUGUCCCCCAUGCUUGUCCCCCCCACACUUUGCUCCCUACUCCACUCUCCAUUGUUCCCCACUCCUUGUCCCCCGUGCUUAUCUCCUAUCACAAACCCCAUACCCUAUUUUCAGCUAUAAAACACACACAUAACAUACACAAAAGAGGGAGCUCAAUCCUUUUCUUCCUCUAACAACAAGCAUGAAAAAUUCCAGCAAUUGAACCAACAAAAACACCUCCUAACCAGCUCUUAAAAUCAGUCCAAAUCCACCCAAAAAUGCAGCUGAAACGCACUGCUUUCUCACUCAAAAUCCAAUCCAAAAACAGUACAUAAACCAGCUCUAUUUUCAUAUCAAAACCCCAGCUCUUAAAAUCAGUUCAAAACAGAAGCUAAAAAGCCACAAAAUCUGCUCAAAAAGCAUCAAAAAUAGCCCCAAAAACGAGCUGAAAAGCUCCACCAAACAGCUCCGAAAACAGUCUCAAAACACCCCAGAAAUAGACUUGUCUCCGUCGUAAUUAUACCAUCUCCAACCAGCUCCUUUUCCUCUAACAAACAGCUGCAAAACUGUCUUGAAACCUGUCCCAAACCCAGCCAAAAAUGACCCUCAUUACUGUUUCCAAAAUGACACCACAGGUUCCUAAAAAAUGACACGAAGACGUACAUGUCGCAACUGAGGUUCCUUCGGCUUCCGUCGCUCGUGGUUUGCUUUUAAGGUACAAUGAAAGCAUUGUUGUUGUGCUAAUUUUCAACUGUUGUAGAUCUCAUUUAGCGAAUAAAUAUUGGAGGUCUACUUUCUAUUUUUGUUUUGUGUUGAAGAUAUAAAAAUUUAUGUUUCGUUCAUUUUUUUUAAGAUAAACUACAGAUGAAUCUUGAUUUUUCUUGAGUGCAUUGACUGUUGGAUACUUUGUUAUUCUUCAUUUCAUUGCCUACUGUGUUAGCAUUGAACUUGCUUCAGUUGUUUCCUUUUUUUUGCUUAAGAGCUUUAUUGGUAGUUUGGACCUAGGUCUAAUGCGCUGGAUUAUAAAAUGGACUAUUAGCUAAGAUAUUUGGGCCAUGGGGUGGUAAGAACUUGGUUAUUUAGAGUUUAAAUGGGGCAUAGAUAUAUGUAAGAACUGUAUGGUAUAAGACUUGAGUCAUGUGAAAAUUAAAUGAAGAGAAUGUCAAUUUUGUUAGAUCAAACGACUUAGUAAUAGAUGUAAAAAUCAUUUCGAUAACUCCACAUCCAUAAACUAUUGUCCUUGCAAUAAUCGCUAGUUUAGAAAAUAAUUCUUAUAAACACUCGUAGUUUGCUUCUAGGCAUGUUAAUAAUAAAAUAUCGUGACUAUGGAUACGAUUUCCGUGGCAUAAUCAUGAUACAUAAUCCUCAAUUCGAGUGCGCGUUUCAUGCGACUUGACCAUAACUUCAAAUAAUAAAAAAAAUUAAAAUAAAUAAAUAAACACAGUUUAUCCAAAAUAAUUCCAUAUUUUAAUAAAUGAAAUCGGACAUAGGUAAAACAUGAAAAUCAAUAAAACACAGUUUAUCCAAAAUUUAUUCAAGCCAAAUUCUAGUCAAUAAAGCGACAGUGCUAGAACCACGGGACUCGGGGAAUGCCUUACACCUUCUCCCCGGUCAACAGAAUUCCUUACCCGAAUUUUGUUUUCGCAGACCAAUAAUAAAGGAGUCAAACCUUCCUUUGACUAGGGAUUCAAAUAAAAGGUAACUUGGAACACCGGCAAAAAAUCAAUUCCAAGUGGCGACUCUGUAAAUAAAAUAAUCCCUAUUUCAAAAAUUGUCACUUUAAUUGAAAAAACUCUUUAACCCACAAUCCAAGCACAUUAUCGUUUUGGGGGGGGGGGGCAUAAAAGGGGUGUGACAGCUCUGGCGUUGUAUGUUGUGUCCUAGUCCAUGAUAUUUAAUGUGGUUUCCAUAGUGAUGCCACCGGCCAGGACGGGGAGUGUGAACUCGCAUUUUUAAAACUUGUUAGCAUGAUGCAGUGCGGUACUAUCUUAUCCUCGAGUUUCAUUUGUGCAAGUACUCGAGGGUGGAUAAUGCACGCGCCGCUCCUAUAGUCUACCAUAAUGUGUCUCACAUCGGUAUCUAAAAUUCGUAAAGUGAUAACAAGGGCAUCAUAGUGAGGGAAAACCAAAAUGUUGGUAUCUGACUUAUCGAAGAUGAUACUUUCUUCGAGUUCAUCAUACCAUUCGUGGGUGAUUGACUGUUUGAUCUUGUGGGUUGUGGUGAUUAUCACAUUGUUGAUGGAAGCAUCGUCACCGCUGCCGAUGAUCAUGUGGAUGGUGCGGGUCAGCGAGGGUGGUUUCGGCAGUUCUUGAUGUUGUUUACGGCCUCUGGAAAAGUUGAUCCUUCCUCGGUCGCUCAGCAACUCUUUGAGGUGUCCAUGUCAUAGCAUAUUUAUGACCUCCUGUCUUAAGGUGAUGCAAUCCUCGGUUUUGUGCCCUCGCUCUUAGUGGAACUCGCUUAGGGCGUUCAACUUUCUGGUACACGGGUCCGACCUCAUCUUUUGCGGCCACUUCACCAUUGGUCCGAGCUUCUCCAAGGCGUAGACUAUUUCUGUAGGUGACACAUAGAGAUUGUGAGCGGAUAAUAAAUCUGCCAUACCUCUUUUGUUUCGGUAAGUCCCUGUUCUUGAUCGAGGUGGGACCUCUUCACGACGGGAGGAGGAUGCGAUGGCGGUUCAGACAUAUGGUAGAUGUUGUUCCCUGUUGGGUUGCGGAGCUGUGAGGUCCCUUAUGAUAUCAUUUCUUCGAUCUUUUCUGGAUUCAGCUUGUACCGAGGUCAGUCGAUGAGUCGGCCCAUUGAGGUCAUCCUCGUCUGCUCGGACCUCGGCACAAUACGCAUUGUGUAUUUCAUCCCAAGUAGUUGGGGGGUACUUCAUAAGCCGACUUAAUAACUUUCUUGUUAACCUUGAAUCAUUUCUACUCAGCCCGUUCUGAAAAGCUGCGACCGCCAUCCCUUCUGAUACAUUCGGCAAGGUCAUUCUUACUCGGUUGAGUCGGGCGAGGAAGUCCCUCAAUCCCUCUUCCGAAGACUGUUUAAUAGAAAAUAUGUCGUUUACUCUCGCCUCGGCCUUCUUGGCCUCAGCAUUGGCCGUAACGAACUUGUCGGCCAUUUCUUCGAAGGUUUCAAUGGAACGCGCAGGCAGUUGUGAAUACCAUGUAAACACUCUUCCCGUGAGGGUCUCGCCGAAUUUCUUUACCAAAAUGGAGGAUACUUGUUCCUUGGCGAGAUCAUUGCCUUUCACGACGGUGACGUAGUGAGUCACAUGGUAUUCGGGGUCGGUCGUGCCAUCGUAUAUUUUCAGAUAGGGCGGUAUUUUAAAGGUCUUUGGUAUGGCAUGUGGGGCGGCGUCAUCACUAUACGGUUGCUCGAUGAACCGACCAGAAUCUCUCUUCGGCAAGAGCUUAGGGGCGCCUGGUAUCUUAUCGACCCUUACUUGGUGUUCUCUCAUUUGGUCCCGAAGUGCUUUGUUCUCAUUCUUCUUUUCCUCCAUCCUUUUCAGGAUGGUUGCGAGAGUGUUGUCACCUGCACUACUAACGAUAUUGUGAGUAAUACUUGUCGUUGGAUUAGGAGGAAUUUGAUCAUGUUGCUCGUCCGCUUGUGGUAUAAUGCAAAUCCUUUCAUUUUUUGUAGUUGUAUCUCGAACGGGCUUAUGGAGGACGUUGGUUAGCGUAUCAGUUAGCCAAGCCUCGAGGAGCAUUUUUACUGCUGGUGGUGUCUCUUUCACCACGGAUGUUGAGGCUCCCUUACCAAGAGAUUUUGUGAUGCUACUGUGAGGAGGGGGUUAUCCACCUCGCCUGGGGAGACAUUGGGCGUUGCGUCCUCGUCCACUGCU
rnacentral:lncRNA from 1 species